UACGUAGGGGGCAAGCGUUGUCCGGAAUUACUGGGCGUAAAGCGCGUGUAGGCGGGACGACAAGUCCGGCGUGAAAGGCUUGGGCUCAACCCGAGAUGGCCGUUGGAAACUGUCGUUCUUGAGGGCCGGAGAGGAGAUCGGAAUUCACGGUGUAGCAGUGAAAUGCGUAGAGAUCGUGAGGAAGACCCGUGGCGAAGGCGGAUCUCUGGACGGCUAAAACUGACGCUGAGGCGCGAAGGCCAGGGGAGCAAACGGG
rnacentral:rRNA from 1 species